GGUUGAUCCUGCCAGUAACAUAUGCUUGUUUAAAAGAUUAAGCCAUGCAUGUCUAAGUAUAAACAUCUUUAUACAGUGAAACUGCGUACAGCUCAUUAUAUCAGUAAUUAUUUAUUUGAAGGUGACUCACUACAUGGAUAACUGUAGUAAUUCUAGAGCUAAUACAUGCGUAAAGUUCCGACUCUCGGGAAGGAAUGUAUUUAUUAGAUAAAAAAUCAAUGCAGGUUUUACCUGGUUUAUUGGUGAUUCAUAGUAACUGUUCGAAUCGUAUGGCCUUGUGCUGACGAUAGUU
rnacentral:rRNA from 1 species